rnacentral:rRNA from 1 species
CGCUGGCGGCGUGCCUAAUACAUGGCAAGUCGAACGGUCUUUCUAUGGAAGCUUGCUUCCACUGAGAAGAUAGUGGCGAACGGGUGAGUAACACGUGGGUAACCCUGCCCAUAAGAGGGGGAUAACAUCCGGAAACGGGUGCUAAUACCGCAUAGUUUUCUUUGAUCGCAUGAUUGAGAAAGGAAAGACGGCCUUUGUGCUGUCGCUUAUGGAUGGACCCGCGGCGUAUUAGUUAGUUGGUGAGGUAACGGCUCACCAAGACGAUGAUACGUAGCCGACCUGAGAGGGUGAUCGGCCACAUUGGGACUGAGACACGGCCCAAACUCCUACGGGAGGCAGCAGUAGGGAAUCUUCCGCAAUGGGCGAAAGCCUGACGGAGCCGACGCCGCGUGAACGAAGAAGGCCGUGAGGUUGUAAAGUUCUUUUCGGGAGGGGGAACAACCGUGGCAGGGAAUGGCCGCGGGAUGACGUGAAUCCCGGAAUAAGCCCCGGCUAACUACGUGCCAGCCGCCGC